GGGCUUGACAUCCCACGAACCUGCCCGAAAAGGUGGGGUGCCCGCAAGGGAGCGUGGAGACAGGUGGUGCAUGGCUGUCGUCAGCUCGUGUCGUGGGAUGUUGGGUUAAGUCCCGCAACGAGCGCAACCCUCACCCCUAGUUGCCACCGGGUUAAGCCGAGCACUCAAGGGGAACUGCCAGCGUCAAGCUGGAGGAAGGCGGGGAUGACGUCAAGUCAUCAUUCCCCUUACGCCCUGGGCUACACACGUGCUACAAUGGCCAGUACAAAGGGACGCGAGACUGCGAAGUGGAGCUAAUCCCAAAAUGCUGGUCUAAGUUCAGAUUGCAGUCUGCAACUCGACUGCAUGAAGGAGGAAUCGCUAGUAAUCGCGCAUCAGCCCGGCGCGGUGAAUACACUCCCGGGCCUUGUACACACCGCCCGUCACACCACGAAAGCUGUCUGUACUCGAAGUCGCUGAG
rnacentral:rRNA from 1 species